AGGCAUGGCCAAACUUGGCCCUCCAGCUGUUUUGGGAUUACAAUUCCCAUCAUCCCUGACCACUGGUCCUGUUAGCUAGGGAUGAUGGGAGUUGUAGUCCCAAAACAGCUGGAGGGCCAAGUUUGGCCAUGCCU